rnacentral:rRNA from 1 species
CCUACGGGUGGCAGCAGUGGGGAAUAUUGGGCAAUGGACGCAAGUCUGACCCCGCAACGCCGCGUGAAUGAAGAAGUCUUUCGGUUUGUAAACUUCUUUUAAGGGGGAAGAGCAGAAGACGGUACCCCUUGAAUAAGCCCCGGCUAACAACGUGCCAGCAGCCGCGGUAAUACGUAGGGGGCAAGCGUUGUCCGGUUUUACUGGGUGUAAAGGGGGUGCAGCCGGGAAGACAAGUCAGAUGUGAAAUCCCGCGGCGCAACCGCGGAACUGCAUUUGAAACUGUUUUGCUUGAGUCUCGGAGAGGUAAUCGGAAUUCCUAGUGUAGCGGUGAAAUGCGUAGAUAUUAGGAAGAACACCAGUGGCGAAGGCGGAUUACUGGACGACAACUGACGGUGAGGCGCGAAAGCGUGGGGAGCGAACAGGAUUAGAUACCCCUGUAGUC